rfam:Clostridium sulfidigenes strain 113A c20, whole genome shotgun sequence.
GGAACUUGUACACGUUGCGGUGCAACGCUUGUUAAAGA